CGUAGUCAAGCGUCACGGCGAUGACGAUCAGAUCAGAACCCGGCCCCAAGCUUGCGCUCAGUGGCGGCGGGGCACAUCACAUCCAUCCGGCCCAUGUGGUUCUCGUGGAGUCGUGGGCUUCUAUUAGCCAAUAUAGGUCUAGCCUGCUCCCAAAACUUAACAGUCCGUAUAUUCCGCUCAUAAUUCCUCACCGGCCUGCCUCAGAGAGAGAAAAAGCGGAGAUUAGCGGCGGCGAUGGCACUCCCGGCGUCGAGCUCCGGCCUCUUCCGCUUCGUCUCCCCGCGCAGCCGCCCCCAAUCCACCGACAUCGUGGCUGCCGCCUCCUGGGGAGUCUUCGCCGGCACCGCCGGCCUCUACCUCGUCCAGACAAAGAAGGGAAAAAGACUGGUGGAACAAGGAAGCCGCAGAAUUCGAAAGAUAACAAGUGAUAUCUACAGCAAGGCCCAUGGUUGGAAGCCGGUUGACAGGCGUCUCCAGUGACAUUUUGCUGCUGAUAAUACAUCUUUUGCUUCUGGAUGUAUUCAGUUUGUCUGCUUUUGGUAGAUAAAAACUAGCUUUUAGUCAUUUCUGGUGAUGCGAUGUUCCUGGCUGCUUUUGGGAUCUAUCCUUUGUAGAUAUUCAGUGAUGUCUGUUAGACUGUCGGACUUCUUCUG
rnacentral:misc_RNA from 1 species